AUGACCGUUUUCCUGGUCUUUUCACUGGAAGUGAUUGUCCUCCUGGUAUAUAAUACAGCGGGCACAAAAUCUAAUGGCAAAUAUCUUGGUUCCCAGGUUGAAAGUACGUUAUGGGCUUAUACUGCAGGCAUCCAUGAAUCGCUCAUCUCAUGCAAGAAACAUCUUCAAGUACUUCCUGUAAUUUGGUAUACGAAAUUCAAGCCAAGGUUUUAAAUUACCAUUGUCGUGCAAUGGUUCGAUUCCGUUGUAAUGGCCCAAUCCAGAUAA
rnacentral:rRNA from 1 species